GGAAAGAGCAAAGGAACAUUUUCUGAAAGCAGUUGUAAUUUCUCAGACGUCUCCCAGGAGGGUCCAGCUCCCACGCAGGAGAUCUAAGCCAACAGAAUACAGACAUGAACUGAUGCCCUUGGCCAUGAUGCGCCCCCAGCUGCUAUCUGUUCAGGCACAGCCGGCGUGACUCGGCUGUCACUGAUCCAGCUGUUCACGUAAGUGUGAGGCACGGAAGAA
rnacentral:lncRNA from 1 species